UCAUCACCCACCUCGCUGCUCCCCGUCCCCGGAGCAGCUCGCCGUCGCCGCCUGAGCUCCGAAUCCAAUCCGCCAUGCCGGCCGCCGAGAGCUGCCACUCCCGCAGCCUCUCGUGGCUCGUCAAAUCUUGCAUCCCCGCCGACCCCGCCCGCCACAUCGCCGUCCCCGUCCCCGUCCCCAUUCUGGCUCAUCCGGCAGUUUGCCCCACCCUCCAACCACCUCCUCCCUCGUCGGCGUCCCACAUCUCCGCCCUCCCGGAUGACCUCCUCCUCGAGUGCCUCGCCCGCGUCCCCCGCGCCUCCAUCCCGCCGCUCUCCGCCGUCUGCCGCCGCUUCGCCACGCUCCUCGCCUCCGAUGCCUUCCUCCACCUCCGCCGCGCCCACGCCCAGCUCCGCCCCUCUCUCCUCACCCUCUCCGUCUCCGACAGUGGUUGCAUCGCGCAAGCGCUGCUCCAGUUCGACGCCUUCUCUCCCGCGCUCGAGGUCGCCGCGCUGCCCCUGCCCCCGACCCUGCUGCAUUGCGGCGGCUCCGUGUUCGCGCACGCCCGCGCGGUCGUGCUGGGCCGCGAGGUCUUCCUCAUCGGCCGUGGUGCCACGCUACGCGUCGACGCGCUCACCGGCGCGGCCCGUGCUUGCGCGCCGACGCUCUUCCCGCGGAAGAAGUUCGCCGCCGCGGCCGCUGGCGACCGGAUCUACGUCGCUGGAGGGUCCGCGCGCACCGCGGCGGUCGAGGAGUACGACCCUGAAGCAGACGCGUGGCGCGUGGUAACCGAGGCGCCGCGGCGGAGAUACGGCUGCGCCGGCGCGGCUGCCGGAGGCGUGUUCUACGUCGCCGGAGGUGUCGCGGUGUCCGGCGAAGCCGCGCGGGCGCUCGAGGCGCACGUGUGCGCCGGGUCGGUGGACGCGCUGCACGUCGCGUCCGGCACCUGGGCGCGGCCGCGUGCUCUCCCCGGCGGCGGCUGCGUCGUGGGGGCGUGCGGCGUCAGCGAGCACCUCUACGUGAUAGCCAGCCACGCGGUGGAGCUCUCCUUCUGGAGGUGGUGCGGCGCCACCGGCCGUGGCGGGGACGGCAGAGGCUGGGGCGGGUGGGUGGCCCUCGAGGCGCCGCCCAUGCCUCGUGGAUCGGUGGGGCUCGGCAUGGCGGUGCGCGUGGCGAUGGCCGGCCUAGGAAGCAAUAGGGUGGCGGCCGUGGUGAGCGCGGCGGCCGUGAGGGGACACGUUAACGCGGGCGGCGGCGGCGCGUUGGAAGGGAUGGUGCUGGUGUACGACAUCGCCGGGGGCAAGUGGAGCCGCGCGCCUGACCUGCCACCUGCGUUCCGGCGGGCCGCGUGCGCCGGCGUCGAGUGCUGACAAUGCCGGUGGAAGUGGCCCCACAGUUCAGCGAGAUUCCUGCCAUUAGGUAUUUUGGUGGGUGUAGAUUGAUGCUAUGUCAAGUAACAUGGCGCCAUCGUGGGAUUGUUUGUUGAACAACUGAUUGGAUAUUUGGAUGCCACCAUUUUUCUCUCCAGUUGUUAUUUAUCGUUGGCAGUUCAUUCGAUUCAAGUGAAAAACAGCACGCGGGAGACUGUGGGGACUGGAGGCUGUGGCCAUGGUCCCAUAAAACUGAUUCGAGUUAGACAUGUUGUCUACUUCUCUGUGGCUUCCACUGAUGCCAACAACGUACCGCUUCUACUAUUGUCCAGCGAGCCUAAACGAAGCCAAAGUUUCACAUUCAUUGCACGCGUCUGACGUCUCUGCUCUAUCGAUUCUUUUUUGCAGAGAUAUGUAUAGAUCAUAUAACAUAAAAAUAUGAUCCCCUGUAUUACUUGUCUUCAUUCUUGUCUUUUUCUAUGUUAGUUCUCUUUAAUUUUUGGACUUAAUUUCAGCACGUCUCUCACCAGUUCAGAUCGAUGGAUAAUAACGACUCAGGUUCAGUUUUGAUUUGAAUAAAUUAAAAACUAAUGCACCGGACUGCAGCUGCACGUACUAAUUAAGUUCCGAAAGUUGACUUAAGCACCUAAGUAGCAAUUAAUUAGCGGUUAAUGCCUAAGUUUUUCCAUGGGAUUUGGAUUUACAUGUAACAAAACUCAUGCUUCGAUUCUAUCCCAUUAUUUA